rnacentral:lncRNA from 1 species
CCCGAGUGGCCAGGGCUGCUGCCCUCCAACUUGGAGGGCAGCAGUUCGAACUCCCACAAAAGUAUUGUGGGGGUAUUUUCUUCCUCAAUUAAUUUGAGUGAAGGUAGUCUUCUUCCUUACCCAUGAGUGAGGAGUAGACAUCCCUCGAAUAUUUGUGAGGGUUAAAAUCUGGGCAGAGCUCCAUUAGUAUUGAUGUCAGUUGGUCCUAGUAAUAGUCUGAUUUGUAAAUAUCAGUAAUAAUCUCAUGUAUAUAAGUUGUAAUCUGAGCAAUAGUCUCAUGUAAUAAAAAAAAAAAAAGAUUGUGGGGAUGUUAAUGUGGUCCAACUAUGUAUCCCAUGCCAUGC